rnacentral:rRNA from 1 species
ACACUCCUGCGGGAGGCAGCAGUGGGGAAUUUUGGACAAUGGGGGCAACCCUGAUCCAGCAAUGCCGCGUGAGUGAAGAAGGCCUUCGGGUUGUAAAGCUCUUUUGUCAGGGAAGAAACGGUAGUAGCGAAUAACUAUUACUAAUGACGGUACCUGAAGAAUAAGCACCGGCUAACUACGUGCCAGCAGCCGCGGUAAUACGUAGGGUGCAAGCGUUAAUCGGAAUUACUGGGCGUAAAGCGUGCGCAGGCGGUUGUGUAAGUCAGAUGUGAAAUCCCCGGGCUCAACCUGGGAAUUGCAUUGGAGACUGCACGGCUAGAGUGUGUCAGAGGGGGGUAGAAUUCCACGUGUAGCAGUGAAAUGCGUAGAUAUGUGGAGGAAUACCGAUGGCGAAGGCAGCCCCCUGGGAUAACACUGACGCUCAUGCACGAAAGCGUGGGGAGCAAACAGGAUUAGAUACCCGAGUAGUCCCAUGA